rnacentral:lncRNA from 13 species
GGCGCAGCGAGCCGGGCUCCUGCUGUCUGCUCUCGGCGGCGGCGGCAGGGGCUGAGGGCACAGCCAGCGGGCGGCGCGCCGCGGACUCCCAGGCAGCCCGCCGAAAGGGUCCUGAACGUCGUCUUAAGAAGACAGCCACCAGUCCUGCUCAUCUGGAGAAUUGUUCUCAUAAUCUGCAGCCAGGAGGUAUAAGGAACACUUUCUCUCAACCAUCGACAUUUUAAAGAAGAUGAAGCUUUGGAAAGGUCUUUAGACAUAGCCGGGAGCUUUGUUCACACUCCCGACAUUGCUGUCCGGUAAGUUUUUUGCAGUGAUUGAAAUCUUAUGCAAGGUUGGAUUGUUUGGCUUUUAGAGCCACACUAGCCAAUCAAUAUGGUCGCCACAGUCACAUGUGGCUAUUGAGUGGUGACUUGAAAUGUGGCUAGUUUGACUCAGGCAGUGAGUUUUAAGUUGUAUUUAAUUUUAAUUGAGUUGAAAUGAGAUCCUGAAAUAGAUUGAGACACAAAUGUUCUUGGACUUCAUUUGCAGUGAGUAGCAUAGGGAUUUGGGGUUAGAAUCUGUAUCAUGAAUAUCAAUUUCUCUGUUGAAAUUAAAUCCUGGCUGCAUUGGUGCAAAGUAGCAUGGGUUGAUAAUUCUAAUUAUAUCUCCC